rnacentral:tRNA from 1 species
CUCACCUUAUCAGACGUAAGAGCGCAACGCUACGAACGUCGAGGUCGCAGGUUCGUUCCCUGCAGGUGGGUCCA